CAGUCGCCACGGUAAUACGGAGGGUGCAAGCGUUAAUCGGAAUUACUGGGCGUAAAGCGCACGCAGGCGGUUUGUUAAGUCAGAUGUGAAAUCCCCGAGCUUAACUUGGGAACUGCAUUUGAAACUGGCAAGCUAGAGUCUUGUAGAGGGGGGUAGAAUUCCAGGUGUAGCGGUGAAAUGCGUAGAGAUCUGGAGGAAUACCGGUGGCGAAGGCGGCCCCCUGGACAAAGACUGACGCUCAGGUGCGAAAGCGUGGGCAGCAAACAGGAUUAGAUACCCGCGUAGUCCCUGUCUCUUAUAC
rnacentral:rRNA from 1 species